UGGAAAAGGGGCUGACUGGCCCUGGCACUUCCGAGGUGCGACCUCAGCAAGACAAGUCCCCUCUUCACCAGAGACGACACGGCGGGUCAUUCCGGACUCCUGACGCCGCCAGUCCCGCGGUGAGACGUGAGCGCCAUUGGCGUCCGUGGCCUCUGUUUCCGUGGCAACCUAGUAACCAUUAAUUUUCAAUUAAAGGAGACAAAAAGCUCGAUGACAGCUCCAGGUCUGCUGAAGAUGUCAAGAAUCUGUAUUAAUAUACAGCAAGAGAGCAUAAUUGUGUGUCCAUCUUCCAGAGCAGCGAAAAAUGGAGGGAUAAUUACCAGCUCGAAAGCCACUCUGUAAUUUAGUUCUUACUGUCACCACAGCCCUACACAUUAGCAUAAAUUAAAAGCAGAGUUUAUUGUUAUCAAAGUGCAAAAAAAAAAAAAA
rnacentral:lncRNA from 1 species